CUUUCCAGUUCUGCACAUGACUGCAUUUGCUCCUGUCCAUCAAACUGGUCAUAUAUAGUUCAAAGCAAGUGCAGAAGAUAGGGAAGAAGAUAGUGCAGUUAGCAGGCAUUCCAAAAGGUCUGAGUAUGUUCUUCUACUGGUUAAUUCAUUACAGCACACCCCAGGAAAGACAUCUGCUGCUGAGGCUUCAUUCACCACACCGGUUGAAGACCCUGCAUCUUCAUGUGAAAUCACCUGCUGGGCAUUCCCUUUCCUGCUGGAAUUAAAGCAAGAAAUUUCAGCUUUACUACCUCUACACUGCCGCAAAAUUUCAUCAACCAGAAAAUGAGGCUCAUCACCGAAAUAUCAAUGAUGAUGUUCAUCAAACAUUGCAGACAAUCCAACAGAGCACACAGCGAAUGAAAGUGUUCCAUCUUUCCUUUUUAAUCUUCAAAAUGAAAUAAUGGACACAAGAAAGGCAGCAACUUGUUCUUGUAUUGCAGAAAUAACUGGUUUUGAACGAGUUAACGCUUUCCAAUCCAUCUGAGCUCCCUGUAACUAAAUCUCGGAUGACCUAAUUGAGCUGCUGGAAUGUGCUGAACUCGACAGACUUUCCUCUUCUCCAAUAGGGUGUGGGUCUUGUUUAUUCACACAAGCCCUUGAUGGCUUCAGAGAACAUUCAACGCUGUCGGUGAGUUUGAAAAAGUGUAAACAUAUAAACCAUCGGCCGUUGACUGUACCCUGAGGCUCUUCAUUGCACAAAAGAAAGAAAAAAUGACAACAUGGGAAAAAGCGAUCAAACCAGCCACCUUUUAUAUACCCAAUAACUGGGCAUCAGCAGAGGUAAGUUUUCCUGCACAAAUAAAAUCCCUACCCACCCCCCAAAAAUAAAUAUCAAUACAAAGGUUUUACCAAAAAAAUACUAUUUAUUUUACCAAUCAUUUGUAUAAUAUGGUUCUCAAUUUUCCAACAAGUGGGAAGCCUCAGCCAUCAAAAUGAAAGUAAUAUGUCUCCACCCUGAGCCUUGACAUCUCUGGUCUUAACUAUAUAUAUAUUCAUUCUUAGGCUGGCAGGAUGAUUGUUUGUCAAAGUACAACACAAUUUCAACAAAUGAUCUUGGAUAAGUUUGUCAUGCAGAAAAAAAUUUCAAUGAUCAGGAAACAAUUUUGGCAAAUUUGUACAGGACAGAAAUUUUUUUUUUUAGACAAUUGUUAACGGCAGAUUUGCAAACUGCAUCUCAGUUUAGUUGGAACACUCUAAAACAUGGUACAAUUGAAUUUAUACUGGUUGAAAAAUAGAUAUUUAUAUAUUUUUAUAGCUAUAGGUAAUUGAAGAUUGCAACUUUGGUUGCCAUAAUAGCCAGCAAAACCAUUUUUUACUGCAGCUCUCCAGCAAUAAAUUCUCUCUCUUUUCACUGACACAAACGUCAAGUACUGUAUAUACUCGAGUAUAAGCCAAGUUUUUCAGCACAUUUUUUUGUGCU